UACGGAGGGGGCUAGCGUUGUUCGGAAUUACUGGGCGUAAAGCGUGUGUAGGCGGCCAUGUAAGUCGGGUGUGAAAGCCCCGGGCUCAACCCGGGAAGUGCACUCGAAACUGCGUGGCUUGAGUAUCGGAGAGGUUGGUGGAAUUCUCGGUGUAGAGGUGAAAUUCGUAGAUAUCGAGAGGAACACCGGUGGCGAAGGCGGCCAACUGGACGAAUACUGACGCUGAGACACGAAAGCGUGGGGAGCAAACAGG
rnacentral:rRNA from 1 species